rnacentral:lncRNA from 1 species
GCAAGGCUUCGAUGUGCUCAGACGGCGUCAUCUCCUCUGUGACGACCGACCCCGGGCAUCCCCGUUUCCUUCUGCUAAAGUCCCUCCAGACCCGGUGCCGUUGCCUGUCUGCCCUGCUGUCCUCAGCGGUCACCCUGAACGGGGGUCUCUGAGGGGUCCCCGGGAGGCAGUGCGGUGUGGCAGGACAGGCCCAGCACUGGGGGCUCGUCCUGACUCUGCUCUGUGCUGCCGCCGGGCUCCCAGCGGGUCCCUCGGCUCCCCCGGCCUCCAUCUCUCCCUGAAGAGCCGGCGUCCUCUGCUCCUCUCUGCUCUGAGGCUGUUUUCCUAGGAGCCACCUGAAGUCUCCCGCAUUUACCGAUCACUGCGUCCUGCUAACUCAAAUCUCCUCCACCAGACGGCACUUUCUUACUUUCUCUGCUGCCUCUUUCUCCUUUUUCAAUCUUUCUCAUCUGGCCCUUCCAUUGUUAUUCACCCUGUUUAUUGCUUCAAGCAACCCUGACACGCUGGACAUCAUCUGAAACUACAAACGACAGGAAGCAAUAAGCUGCAGAAUACCAGCAAUCUGAGGAAAGUUCUUCAUUCACUCCUGCUCCUAACUCUCUGUCUUCUUAUCCUACAUAGAAAAUAAAAAAAUCAAUACCACCUCACAGGGCUUGAUAAAAGUGCCGGCCGAGUACAGCAGGCGUGCUGGAUAUAGUAAAUUAAAGUGAUC